AACUUUUAGAGACACCUCAUUCUAGUUGUCUCUAAAGAAACCACCCGAAAAACCAUCCGGUCCCGGCAAUUUCCAUGGAGCCAUGUUUCUGACAGUAUCAAGAAUUUCUUCCGAAGUAGGAAUGGCAGUUAGUCUGUUAUUAACAUCAUCAGUUAUAAAAAUGCGGUUUCAUUUACUUUCCCCAUUUUCACAAUAUAAUAUUGUUUCCAUAUUUUCUUUUUGUUUUUCCUCCUCAUCUUCUUCUUCAUGGAAUACAAUUCUUUUUGGUCAGGAAGGAAUCAGAAUAUCAAAUCUGUGAAAAAUGUCUUCAGUGAAAUAUUUCCAGAUCCUGAAGCAAGGUAUAAAGGUUGUUGAAUCAGAAUCUGGAAAUCGCUGGAGGACCAGAUAUAGGACUUUAUUGAAAAGUCUUUUUUUACGGGUGCUUACAAUCAAGUUCACUAUUAACAUAGUCCUUCUUUCUUCUUCUUCACAUAUUGCCUCUACAUAUCUCCAAUGGAUCUCCGUAUCACAUGAAUCAUUCCUUUGAUUUUCACAAAGAAGAAUAUUUCAAGGACAUUAAGGUUUAAAUGAUUUGUUAGCUAAAGCAGAUGUUCCUGACUUAGAGGAAGAGAAUCAGGUUCUGAAAGUUAAUACUCUAAUUGUGGGUCUUGUACAAGGAGGAGAAUUAGGUGAAAAGGAUACAAAACAAACACUCCCACCAUUCUUGAUCAGAAUUAUUACUCAAAACGUGGCUUCUAUUGUGGAGAUGGAAGGAGAUAAAAGAUUGGUUUCUCAAGGUGGAAGAAUGUAGGUAUAAUGGUAUAUCAAGACACUGACCCAGAUCUGGCUAUGGCUGAAAUUGAUGCUAUCAGGGGUUUGCUUCAAAACUCCUCCUUGUCACUUGUUUCUGAAACUGUGAGCAAGAUUGAUAAACCAAUUAAGGAUGGUAUCAUUUUGAGGCAAUAGAGAGAUUAGAAUUGGUAAAGAAGGGAAAAGGGAAAGCAACUGAAGAAACCCCCAAUACCAACAAAAAGAAUAACUUGAUCCCAUGAAAAGAAAACUACUGUUUAGGACUCCGUGAUGUCAAGAUGAUUGGUUCUUAGUUUAAAGUGGUUGGUGCCUUUUUGAAGCCAAACUGCCACUCGCCUGACCCGGAGAAAGUUCACAGGUUAACUUUCACAUUUCUUUCGGGUGGUGAAAAAGAGGAUUGAAUGAACCAUACCCACGUAAAUACAAGACGGGAAGUUGGAUAGAAAACAACGAUAUAAAGUGAUUGAAUGGGCCUAAACUAGUGCUCAUAGGUUGAGGCUUUUUCAUUUCCAUUAUGAUUGUUGCUAUGGGUAAGAUUAGAUCUGUUCCGUUCAAAUGUUUCGAGUAUUCAUCAUUAGAAUUUUGUUCUGUGAAAACGGAAGUGUAUGCGUUUCUCAUAAUUCUUUU